rnacentral:rRNA from 1 species
UACGUAGGGACCGAGCGUUGUCCGGAUUCAUUGGGCGUAAAGAGCUCGUAGGCGGCUGCUCAAGUCGAAUGUGAAAACUCGAGGCUCAACCUCGAGCCUGCAUUCGAUACUGGGCGGCUAGAGUCUGGUAGGGGGAUCUGGAAUUCCUGGUGUAGCGGUGGAAUGCGCAGAUAUCAGGAGGAACACCGGUGGCGAAGGCGGGUCUCUGGGCAGUAACUGACGCUGAGGAGCGAAAGCGUGGGGAGCGAACAGG